rnacentral:rRNA from 1 species
GAUGAACGCUGGCGGCGUGCUUAACACAUGCAAGUCGAGCGAGAAGUUUUGAAAAGAUUCUUCGAAUGAAAUUUAAAAUGGAAAGCGGCGGACGGGUGAGUAACGCGUAGGCAACCUGCCCCAUACAAAGGGAUAGCAUUUGGAAACGAAUAUUAAUACCUUAUGAAACUUAACUAGUGCAUGCUAGGUAGGUCAAAGAUUUAUCGGUAUGGGAUGGGCCUGCGUCUGAUUAGCUAGUUGGUGAGGUAACGGCUCACCAAGGCGACGAUCAGUAGCCGACCUGAGAGGGUGAACGGCCACAUUGGAACUGAGACACGGUCCAAACUCCUACGGGAGGCAGCAGUGGGGAAUAUUGCACAAUGGGGGAAACCCUGAUGCAGCAACGCCGCGUGAACGAUGAAGGCCUUUGGGUCGUAAAGUUCUGUUCUAGGUGAUGAAAACUGACAGUAACCUAGGAGAAAGCCCCGGCUAACUCCGUG